CCAGGUAAACUCUAUGAGGUGCAAUGUCAUGUAAAUUAGAGCUUGAGAGCUACUCGCUCGAUUCUAAAGGGUAGGCAGAUAGAUUCUAAAAGUAAUUUUAGAACUAGAUAAAUGAUAAGAGCCUUACUUAUGUAAGGAACAGAAUUCGGCUUACAAGUCU
rnacentral:ribozyme from 1 species